rnacentral:tRNA from 1 species
AGUGGUUUGGCAGAUAAAUGCACAUGAAUUAGGAUCAUGCUAUAACGUAUGUUAGCUACUA